GACGAGGGAUCCUAGCGUUGUUCGGAAUCACUGGGCGUAAAGCGUGCGUAGGCUGUUUCACAAGUUGGAAGUGAAAGCCCAAGGCUUAACCUUGGAAUUGCUUUCAAAACUGUGGGACUCGAAUUCGGGAGAGGAUAGCGGAAUUGUCAGUGUAGCAGUGAAAUGCGUAGAUAUUGACAGGAACACCAGUGGCGUAAGCGGCUAUCUGGACCGACAUUGACGCUGAGGCACGAAAGCGUGGGGAUCAAACAGGAUUAGAAACCCGGGU
rnacentral:rRNA from 1 species